rnacentral:rRNA from 1 species
GACGAACGCUGGCGGCGUGCUUAACACAUGCAAGUCGAACGGAAAGGCCCUGCUUUUGUGGGGUGCUCGAGUGGCGAACGGGUGAGUAACACGUGAGUAACCUGCCCUUGACUUUGGGAUAACUUCAGGAAACUGGGGCUAAUACCGGAUAGGAGCUCCUGCUGCAUGGUGGGGGUUGGAAAGUUUCGGCGGUUGGGGAUGGACUCGCGGCUUAUCAGCUUGUUGGUGGGGUAGUGGCUUACCAAGGCUUUGACGGGUAGCCGGCCUGAGAGGGUGACCGGCCACAUUGGGACUGAGAGACGGACCAGACUGCUACGGGAGGCAGCAGUGGGGAAUAUUGCACAAUGGGCGGAAGGCUGAUGCAGCAACGCCGCGUGCGGGAUGACGGCCUUCGGGUUGUAAACCGCUUUCGCCUGUGACGAAGCGUGAGUGACGGUAAUGGGUAAAGAAGCACCGGCUAACUACGUG